UCAACACAGCAUUGCUGCAAUUUGAAAUUAUGCGUCCUUAUUUGAAAGAACUACUCAGCGUAGAAGACUUCUCUCCCUUGGAAAUACCCCAAGGCAUUGGAGCGUCUUGAGAAACUGCAAGUUAUUUCUGGUGAGAGAGAAUUGGCUGUCUGCAGGGAUGUUGCCCAGGGGAUGCCCAGAUGAUUUACCAUCCUGUGGGAGGCUUCUCUCAUAUCCCCACAUGAGAAGCUGGAGCUGACAGACGGGAGAUCACCCUGCUCCCUGGAUUUGAACCACGGACCUUUUGAAUCCUGGAACCUUGGCUCUUUGGACUGGCUGUUGGCUACGGUAGACUUAUUGAAUUCUCGGCGUUUGACCACUGGACUGGACCUUUGACUACGGUGUUAUCUUGAACCUGCAACAGUGUUUGCUAUUUUUGUUUAUUCUGUGGCUGAGUGCUAUCUUUGUGUUUUAUAUUUUGGACAAUUCAAACAGCCAGAAAGUAAGUGCUGUUUUAAUUAAAUUGUUUUAUGCAAA